rnacentral:lncRNA from 1 species
AGGGCUCCAGGCCAAGACCCAAGUUGACAUCCUAAAGCCGCCUGGGAAGUUGAGAGGAAAUCGUCUCCCUGCCCCUCCUGGGAGUUGGGGCAAAUGGCACCAUGAGGACCCUAGCCUCCACCGGGGCGUCUUGGGCCACAUCUCGCUCCAGCAGUCAAGCCUCCGAGCUGCCGAUGUACGGAUGUGGUAAGGAUUGCCGAUGACUUUUUCAUCGCUUUUACGGCAACUCUCACUGCAUCCGCCAUUCUUUGCAAGGAGAAUGUGAAUGAACUUCAGAUUGAACUACAGACAGAAGAAAUUCUUCCUGCCAAAGACACUUAAAACCCCUCCCGUCGGCACCGAGCCCCAAGAAUUCUGAUUGUGGCAGAGAAAAAACAGCCAGCAAAGAUAAUACCAAAUAGUAUAAAAAUAGAGUGGGCUUAAGGCAGAGAGACAGAGAGCUGUAGUGUCUCACGCUCACUACAAACAUUUACAGAGCAUGCAGCUGGGAGGCAAGACCAGCCAAGGAGAUACCAACGCCACGAAGCUCUGGGCGAAAGAAUCUUGCUAAUACUGACAUCCAUUUCUUCGGGCCUUCAUUUGAUGAAUAUUGAGGUGUACAAAGCUCACAAAGGUGUCACGUCCAACAUGUCUCUGAUGGCGCUGAUAGACCGAAGGGGACUGUUUUCAACAAUUUGAGCCAAGGUGCUGAUGUCCGGCGUGUGAAACCUGGCAACAGCUCGGCAAUCUGGAGGCAAGGUGGGAGGUGGAGAAGCACGGAAACGAAGUCUCUGGCUCAACCAGCAAAAGUGAACCACUCCCCAGCAGUGGAAACCGGGGCUUCCUAGAAGAAACGAUGCACUCCCCACCUCCCUCUGUUUGUGCUGCAGUGAAAACUGACACGAGAGAUUCAUUGGAACAUGUGCCCUCGUUCCACUCUCAUCAGCCCACCGCAGGGACAGGAGCUGUUCAUCUUUUUGGCUGUGCUCGCAGCCUCCAGAACACUUAUGAGGGGCACCUUGUGGGCGCCGUGGUCGGAUGAGGCCCCUGGGGCUCUUCCAGAGGCUGGCACUCUCUGCAGUUGUCGCUCACAUACCUGCUCAGGCCAGGCCAGGCCAGAGUGGACAAUGUCUUCCCAGCAGGCCAGACCAGUCUCCCAGGAGGCUGAGGCUGCUGUAUCACUCACCAAACCCUCUCAUCUGCCGGCCUGACCCUGUGCUAUGCUGGAAAUAGCACUCGAGCCAGACGCCCUCCCUGACUUGGACAAGGGCAGUGCCCUGGAAGGAGAGGGCACAGAAGCAGCUGUUUACAGAACCUCCGAGGGCUGCAAUGGGGCAAUGGGGUGUGCAGGAGAGUGACCAGGAGCCCGGGGCAGCUGGUGACCCACCCCUCCAGGCAUUCGUGAGGUGUCAGAAGAGGGGGCCCCUUGAACGGGGCCUGCAGAGAUGGCUAAGAGUCCAUCAGGCAGAUGAAAUGAUUUGCUUUCUUCACACUUACCAAGCUUAGAAAUGACCUCCUUCAUGCAUGUGAAUGACUUUAUUCAUGUAUAUGACUCACCUUCCUCAUGCAUGUGAUGAUCUUAUUGUAUGUGACUCACUUUCAUGCACGUGAUGACCUUAUCCAUGUAUGUGACUCACCUUCAUGCAUGUGAUGACCUUAUUCAUGUAGGUGAUUCACCUUCUUCAUGCAUGUGAUGACCCUAUCCAUGUAUGUGAUUCACCUUCUUCAUGCAUGUGAUGACCUUAUUCACGUAUGUGAUUUGCCUUCUUCAUGCAUGUGAUUACCUUAUACAUGUAUAUGACUCACCUUCAUGUAUGUGAUGACCUUAUUCACAUGUGACUCGCCUUCUUCAUGCAUGUGAUGACCUUAUUCACAUGUGACUCGCCUUCAUGCAUGUGACGACCUUAUCCAUGUAUGUGACUCACCUUCUUCAUGCAUGUGAUGACCUUAUCCAUGUAUGCGACUCACCUUCUUCAUGCAUGUGAUGACUUUAUCUAUGAAUGUGACUCAUUGUUUGUCUUCCCAUCCCCCUAAAACAUAAACUCAAUGAGAG